AGAGUUUGAUCAUGGCUCAGGACGAACGCUGGCGGCGUGCUUAACACAUGCAAGUCGAACGAUGAAGCCCAGCUUGCUGGGUGGAAGAGUGGCGAACGGGUGAGUAACACGUGAGUAACCUGCCCCGAACUCUGGGAUAAGCGCUGGAAACGGCGUCUAAUACUGGAUAUGUCCCAUCACCGCAUGGUGUGUGGGUGGAAAGAUUUAUCGGUUCGGGAUGGACUCGCGGCCUAUCAGCUUGUUGGUGAGGUAAUGGCUCACCAAGGCGACGACGGGUAGCCGGCCUAAGGGGGUGACCGGCCACACAGGGACUGAGACACGGUCCAGACUCCUACGGGAGGCAGCAGUAAGGAAUAUUGGUCAAUGGGCGGAAGCCUGAACCAGCCAUGCCGCGUGCAGGAUGACUGCCCUAUGGGUUGUAAACUGCUUUUGUCCAGGAAUAAACCUAAAUACGUGUAUUUAGCUGAAUGUACUGGAAGAAUAAGGAUCGGCUAACUCCGUGCCAGCAGCCGCGGUAAUACGGAGGAUCCGAGCGUUAUCCGGAUUUAUUGGGUUUAAAGGGUGCGUAGGCGGCCUAUUAAGUCAGGGGUGAAAUACGGUGGCUCAACCAUCGCAGUGCCUUUGAUACUGAUGGGCUUGAAUCCAUUUGAAGUGGGCGGAAUAAGACAAGUAGCGGUGAAAUGCAUAGAUAUGUCUUAGAACUCCGAUUGCGAAGGCAGCUCACUAAGCUGGUAUUGACGCUGAUGCACGAAAGCGUGGGGAUCGAACAGGAUUAGAUACCCUGGUAGUCCACGCCCUAAACGAUGAUAACUCGAUGUUGGCGAUAGACAGCCAGCGUCUUAGCGAAAGCGUUAAGUUAUCUACCUGGGGGAGUACGCCCGCAAGGGUGAAACUCAAAGGAAUUGACGGGGGCCCGCACAAGCGGAGGAGCAUGUGGUUUAAUUCGAUGAUACGCGAGAAACCUUACCCGGGCUUGAAAGUUAGUGAAGAGACCAGAGACGGUCUCGUCCUUCGGGACACGAAACUAGGUGCUGCAUGGCUGUCGUCAGCUCGUGCCGUGAGGUGUUGGGUUAAGUCCCGCAACGAGCGCAACCCCUAUGUUUAGUUGCCAGCAUGUAAUGGUGGGGACUCUAAACAGACUGCCUGUGCAAACAGUGAGGAAGGUGGGGACGACGUCAAGUCAUCAUGGCCCUUACGUCCGGGGCUACACACGUGCUACAAUGGAUGGUACAGCGGGCAGCUACAUAGCAAUAUGAUGCUAAUCUCUAAAAGCCAUUCACAGUUCGGAUUGGGGUCUGCAACUCGACCCCAUGAAGUUGGAUUCGCUAGUAAUCGCGUAUCAGUAAUGACGCGGUGAAUACGUUCCCGGGCCUUGUACACACCGCCCGUCAAGCCAUGAAAGUUGGGGGUACCUAAAGCAUGUGACCGCAAGGGGCGUGUUAGGGUAAAACCGAUAAUUGGGGCUAAGUCGUGACAAGGUAACCGUA
rnacentral:rRNA from 1 species